AAAAAAAAAUACAUCUGAACAUGUCCUGUAGUGGGGGCGAGCCCGGCGAAAGCCGUAUUAAUACCGCAUACGAUCUACGGAUGAAAUCGGGGGACCUUCUUUCCUCGCGCUAUAGGGUUUGCCCAUGUCUGAUUAGCUAUUUGGUGGGGUCACGGACUACCAAGGCGACGCUCAGUAGCUUGUUAGAGAUGAAGACCAUAAAAACUGGGACUGAGAAACGGCCCAGACUCCUACGGGAGGCAGCAGUUGGGAAUUUUGGACAAUGGGAGAAAGCCUGAUCCAGCAAUGCAGCGUGUGUGAAGAAGGCCUUUUUUUUUUAU
rnacentral:rRNA from 1 species